rnacentral:snoRNA from 1 species
UAAUACUUGAUACUAACCAAGCUGUCUAUUCCCUAGCCUGUGUCAAAGGCUUGUGAUGUGUUGUGAUAGCUGGGUUUAAACAGUGCAAUAUUAAAACGAAAGCCAUGAGUCUUUUAAGCUCAGUGUGUAAAGUCACACUCUGAGUUAUAGCUCAAAGGUACAACU